rnacentral:rRNA from 1 species
GAAAGUAAACGCGGGUCAAACCGUGAACUUUUAAACCUUUGACGAUUGACUCAUGUUGCCUCGGCGGGCUCGCCCGCCAGAGGAUACAUCAAAACUCCUGUUUUAACGGCGUUGUCUGAGCUACAAGCAACGAAUCAAAACUUUCAACAACGGAUCUCUUGGUUCUGGCAUCGAUGAAGAACGCAGCGAAAUGCGAUAAGUAGUGUGAAUUGCAGAAUUCAGUGAAUCAUCGAAUCUUUGAACGCACAUUGCGCCCCUUGGUAUCCCGAGGGGCAUGCCUGUUCGAGCGUCAUUACACCACUCAAGCCUGGCUUGGUGUUGGGCGACGUCCCCUUUGGGGACGCGCCUUGAAAUGCUCGGCGGCGUGGCACCGGCUUUAAGCGUAGCAGAAUCUUUCGCUUCGAAAGUCGGGGCCCCGCCUGCCGGAAGACCUACUCGCAAGGUUGACCUCGGAUCAGGCAGGGAUACCCGCUGAACUUAAGCAUAUCAUA